GACGAACCGUGCGAACGUUAUUCGGAAUCACUGGGCUUAAAGCGCGUGUAGGCGGGUCGGCGCGUCGGGCGCUGAAAUCCCCCGGCUCAACCGGGGAAGCGGCGCCGAUACGGCCGGCCUGGAGGGACGUAGGGGGGGCUGGAACUUCCGGUGGAGCGGUGAAAUGCGUUGAGAUCGGAAGGAACGCCCGUGGCGAAAGCGAGCCCCUGGACGUCUACUGACGCUGAGACGCGAAAGCGUGGGGAGCAAACAGG
rnacentral:rRNA from 1 species